UACAUGGGGUGCAAACGUUGCUCGGAAUUAUUGGGCGUAAAGCGCGCGUAGGCGGUUACUUAAGUCGGAUGUGAAAGCCCUCGGCUUAACUGAGGAAGUGCACCCGAAACUGAGUAGCUGGAGUACGAAAGAGGGUCGCGGAAUUCCCGGUGUAGAGGUGAAAUUCGUAGAUAUCAGGAGGAACACCGGUGGCGAAGGCGGGUCUCUGGGCCGAUACUGACGCUGAGGAGCGAAAGCGUGGGGAGCGAACAGG
rnacentral:rRNA from 1 species